UUCUGCCCAAGCGGGGGAAGGAUGAGAAGCUUCGACCAAGGUUCGACUCGAGCGCCAACGAGAGAGCGUGGC
rnacentral:sRNA from 1 species